rnacentral:rRNA from 1 species
AAUCUACCUUUUGCUGAGGGAUAGCCCAGAGAAAUUUGGAUUAAUACCUCAUGGUAUUAUUGAUAGGCAUCUAUUAAUAAUUAAAGGUUACGGCAAAAGAUGAGUAUGCGUCCCAUUAGCUAGUUGGCGAGGUAACGGCUCACCAAGGCAACGAUGGGUAGGGGUCCUGAGAGGGAGAUCCCCCACACUGGUACUGAGACACGGACCAGACUCCUACGGGAGGCAGCAGUAGGGAAUAUUGGACAAUGGGCGCAAGCCUGAUCCAGCCAUGCCGCGUGUGUGAAGAAGGCUCUAGGGUUGUAAAGCACUUUCAGUAGGGAGGAAGGCCAGAGGCUUAAUAAGUCUUUGGAUUGACGUUACCUACAGAAGCAGCACCGGCUAACUCCGUGCCAGCAGCCGCGGUAAUACGGAGGGUCCGAGCGUUAUCCGGAAUUAUUGGGUUUAAAGGGUCCGUAGGCGGAUGAUUAAGUCAGGGGUGAAAGUUUGCAGCUCAACUGUAAAAUUGCCUUUGAUACUGGUUAUCUUGAGUUGUAUUGAAGUAGGCGGAAUAUGUAGUGUAGCGGUGAAAUGCAUAGAUAUUACAUAGAAUACCGAUUGCGAAGGCAGAUCACUAACAAUAUAUUGACACUGAUGGACGAAAGCGUGGGGAGCGAACGGGAUUAGAUACCCC